ACGGGUGAGUAAUGUCUGGGAAACUGCCCGAUGGAGGGGGAUAACUACUGGAAACGGUAGCUAAUACCGCAUAACGUCUUCGGACCAAAGUGGGGGACCUUCGGGCCUCACACCAUCGGAUGUGCCCAGAUGGGAUUAGCUAGUAGGUGGGGUAACGGCUCACCUAGGCGACGAUCCCUAGCUGGUCUGAGAGGAUGACCAGCCACACUGGAACUGAGACACGGUCCAGACUCCUACGGGAGGCAGCAGUGGGGAAUAUUGCACAAUGGGCGCAAGCCUGAUGCAGCCAUGCCGCGUGUAUGAAGAAGGCCUUCGGGUUGUAAAGUACUUUCAGUGGGGAGGAAGGCGAAGAGGUUAAUAACCUUUUCGAUUGACGUUACCCGCAGAAGAAGCACCGGCUAACUCCGUGCCAGCAGCCGCGGUAAUACGGAGGGUGCAAGCGUUAAUCGGAAUUACUGGGCGUAAAGCGCACGCAGGCGGUCUGUCAAGUCGGAUGUGAAAUCCCCGGGCUCAACCUGGGAACUGCAUUCGAAACUGGCAGGCUAGAGUCUUGUAGAGGGGGGUAGAAUUCCAGGUGUAGCGGUG
rnacentral:rRNA from 1 species